UUUCUCUUCAAACAAACAAAGCCUAAAAGAAAAACUCAACCGCUUCAAAGAAACACUCAGUCGCUUCUUCUCUCCCUCUCAUCAUUCGCCUCUCUCCCUCUCUCGAUUCAUCCAAACACUCAGCGGCCGGAGGAACAAGUUCAGAUGUCGCGAAUGGAAAACGAUAUGAGGAUCGUGUUCGAUGGUGAACGAAUGGAGGAUAGAAACAGGGUCGUGUUCGAUGGAGAAAUUUCUUGUUCUCACUUCUCUCACUCACUCAUUCAUGGUGAGUAAAGGACUUUGAACCAAUUAUCUCACUCUACAGGAUUUUAACAAGGUCAAAGUGGAAUGGUUCAAGGUCAAAGUGGAACGGAAGUUAACUGUAAGUGUAUUAACUAGAAGAGAUGUUGCUAAUUGUUAUGUUUAAACUGGUAUUGGUAUGUUUAAACUGGUAUUGGUAUGUUUAAACUGAAACUGAAACUGAUGUAUGUUGAAACUGAUGUUGAAACCGAAACAAAAAUAAUGUUGUUCAAUCGAGCUUUGUUCGUUUGAGGAGUUACUAUCUUGACUAUUCUAGAUUACACAAAAUUACUAUCUUGACUUUUCAUACUACUAUUCCAAUUCCAACUAUGUCACAUUUGCUUCAUCAGUGGCUUCAUUUUUUGAAACAACAGCAGCUUGGACCAUAAAACCUUUCAACAUGCUGAUUUACUUAUUUUACUCUCAAUUGUUUAUUUGGAUCCUCAAAUUCCCAAGUAUCAAGGUUUUAAACAAAGAUCAAUGUCAAUGUGACCAAGUUUUUUGUUAUGUAGCUGAAAAUGCAACAUGAUUGCAAUCGACCGGGAUUCUUUGCAAUAUCAAGAGUUGUGAUGCGACUACAACCAGUUAUUUAAUCUCUAUUUGAAACCUUACUCCCUAUCUCUCUUGAUUUCUCUCACUUCCUCAUCUCCUCAUGCUUACUUUUAUUGUUAUAGAGUUUAUCUUCAAGUUACCUUGUUGACCAAGAACCCGUUAUCACUCCUAUGUAAAACUUUGUUAUAUGUAGUUGGAAAACUAUUAGGUUGUCUUAAGAAAGGGUAGAAAUAUAAUAGUGAUAUAUCCUCAUAAGUACUUAAUAUAGAAAUGUAGUUCUUUCUAUCUGAUUUAGUUAUUUCUCUUUUAAAUAAUUAUGAUCAUGGUUUGUUAUUUUGAGAGUUUAAAGAUGAAGCCCCUGGACUGAUUCAUGAUGGUUACCUUUCAUGGUUAGUAGAAAUCAUUUUUCAAUUUUUACUUUGCACGUGAGAGUGAGACAUUUAAUUAUGAAUUUGUUAUUUUUAAUUGUGAUAGAGAGAUAGUCAAACUCAAAUGUCUCACACUCUCACCAAAUGAAACUUGCUUGUGAGUGUGAGGUAUACACGUGAAUACAAAUCUUGGUGCUUAUAUAUACUUUUUAAAUUAAUUUAUAUUAUCAGGCUUGCUAUUUCUACACCAAUACUUCAUACACCGUACAGUACACUGUAUACUAUUACCAAACAAAAUGGCAUAGCACAGAAACCAAAGUAAAUAUGUCUUAUUAAAAAAUUAAAUUUAAUAUGCUUUUUGUAUAUAUCUACGGUGUAGUGUUUGAAAAGAGUGUACAUAUAUCAUUUCUCUUAUAUUAUUGGGCUCUGGUUAGUGAUUAAUUGCAUUAAAUCAAUUUAUCUUUUAUAUUGUAAGCCUAACUCUCCAAUUUCCUGGAAUCAACAUGGCUUAUAUUUGAUCUUCUUGAAUCAUCCAAGGAGUUUAUUAUUCAACAAAACUGGGCUUCAUCCUGUGACUCAACAUAAUUCAUUUGUCCUUAUUUGAAUUAUUGUAGCAACCUGUUUUCAUACUACUAUUCCAAUUCCAACUAUCUCACAUUUGCUUCAUUAUGUCACUAUACAUGUUUUUCCAUUUGCCAUAUUAUUUUCACACUAAUAUCAAUUAUUGAAUCAGUAUUCCUUCAAUACCAUCUUGUCGUGAGAUUUGCUUCCAGCUUUAUAAUUUUGUUUUAUAUUAUUACUAUUCAUUCACAUGUGAACCUCUCUUGACUAUAUGCUUUGCCAACCAUUCAAAAGAGGUGCUAUCCAUUCACACACAAGUCUUUAUUUCUACUGAAGAUGGCUCUUCUAGGUAUGUAACUAACUCUUUGUUUGUCUUUGAAUGGUUUACAAGGGUUAUUUUAUAUGGCAUCAUUUGCAAUGUGUCACUGCUAUUCUCUGAUGUCGAUAAUAUUAGGCUUGUUGAGUAUGAUAUCUUGCUGUUAAAUAUGAUCCAUUCCGUCCUGAGUCAAGCCAUUCCAUUAGGUUUUAUUCCACUCUGCUAUGUACUAGUCUAUCAAUCCAAACACAGCUUAAGUCAAUUUUAGGCUAUUAAAGUUUGAAAUAAAAAUGUAGUUUCCUAUUUUGAAAAAAACUUACAACAUAGAACUGCAUCUGAGGAACAUCUGCUUUCAUAAAAAUGUGAAUUGGAAGUUAUGCAAUGUGUAAGGUCAGUACCAAAGUCAAUUAUUGAGUGUACAUAUAAUUAUAAUUUCACUUCAAGUAGGUAGCUGUUGCCUUUUUAAUUGAAAAUCAAUAAUUCAUUGAUGACUUUUUGAUAGUGUUGCGGGCUGACUUCAUUAUCUUUGUCUUUACAGGGUCUUGUGAGUGUUCUUAUAUCACUAGUUGAUACAGUUGGGGAGUGUUGCGGGUUGACUUCAUUAUCUUUAUCCUAUUCAAGCCUAUAUGUAUUGAUACAGUUGGGGAAUGUUCGGGUUGGUCAAAACCAAAUAUUGAAUACAAGGAAGCACCUCUAGGGAUGAUUAUCUGUUUGUAGUGUUUAUAGCAACUUUUUAUCACUCAAGUUUUUAUAUUUAGUUUUUGAUGAUUAUCUGUUUUGAUGUUAUUGUUAUUGACGUAUAGACAAUAAAAUAAUUUGUAUUCAUACAAUUAUAGUAAUCAAGCUUUAAAUUCUUCAAAAUUGACGCAAGUGAUUGGUGUGUUGGUUUGAAAAAGAAAAUUGAUUUCACUAUUGGAGUACUUAGAACUGAUUCAAAAAUUGAUUUUUGAUAUGUAAAAUUGACAUGUUUAAUUGAAUGUAAAAUUGGCCUACAUAUAGCCGCGAUUUUAAUUAGUGGCCAUAAACAAACCGUGGCAAGACUUUGAAACUAAACCGUAUGCUAUAAAUUAAAUAGAAACUGUGGUUUUACGAUCUGGCCACCGUUUUGUACUCAUGGCAAAGACAAACCGCGGCCUCAAUCUAGAUACCUAAACCGUGGCCUAUACAAGCCACGAAUGUCCAUAAAAUCUGGCACAAACAAGAAAACUGUGGAUUAUACUUUAGGCCACGCCCGCAUAUCUCACAGUCGGUUUUCUGUGGCCAAACUGUGGUCAAAGCGUUACACCACGGUUAUUUUGCAUAUAGCCGCGGUUUCGUGGCCGUGGCAGGAGACCUUUUUUUUGUAGUG